UAUUAUUUAUUUAUAAUCUGUCACAAAUUUAAAUAGUAAUAUUAUAAUUAAUUGUUGCCAUUGUUUUAGAAGAGUUGAAAAUAAAAAUCUGACCGCCUUGGCUUCGCCUUUGCUUAACACUUCAUCUUCGAAGGACCAGAAUUUCGAGAACAAACCGUAGAAAGAUUAUGCGUAUGCGAAAAAUUGUGGAAAAAAUAGAAAUCUAUCUUUUCGAUAGAGUUCGCGGUUGUAAGAAACAGGAACAUCUUGAACCUAAAAUCUCCGCCUAUCGGAGGCUCUUUAAUGCCCCUGUAAUUUCUUAGACGAGCCCAGCUUGUCCUUCGCCAUCGUCGUCGUCGUCGUCGUCGUCGUAGUAUACGUGUACCUUGAACAAACACACGUAACCAACUGGCUACAACCAACCCGUUUUCCAUCCUGUGUUCCACCGCCUCGUUUGCCGCGCUAACUUUUCAACGCUGUUCUUUAGCCGCACUUAUUUCGCUCGAACUUGAGGCGAACUUUCACACCUUCCCCCCCUCCUCGCACACCAUUUUCAGACUAAUUUUUGCGCCAGAAAAUUAACCGUUCCGUCGAGGAGACUAAAAGUAACGCCGUUCUCUCGUUUCUCACCUCCUAUAAUAAUUCGGUUUAACCAGGGCCAGCUUCCUUCCUAACGAACUCGAGAACGUUUUCCUCCCGCUCUAAAUUCUCUUCGAAUUUUAUACGAAGGAUUUCGGGAUUUUUCAUUUAUAAUCGUUUAAAAAUCGUAGAUUUUCCGCCGCGAUCGAAUCGCGGUAAAGUAAAUGGAGGGAUGAUCGUGAUCAUCCUCUCGCUUAUCCCCCGACGAAGACGCGACUGGCCGAAUAAUGGGAGGCCAUUACCGGGUUAGAACGCAACAAGCUCUCGCCUAUUCGAUCGUUAAUCAGAUUAUUUGCUACCAUCCAACCGCUACUUUGCUCCUCUCCACGGCGCUACGCUUUGCGUCCAAACUAACGAAAUCGUUUACAAGGGCGGCUCUCUCUGAUCGGCUCUCUCGGGUUUGGUAACCUUUCGCCCGAAUAUCCCUCGCUAAAAUCCCCCGGAAUAUCCGUAAUUUAGCUUAGGCUCGAAUAUUUUUAUAGGUCGUCGGUCAGAGCAGGUUGCGAUUCGUUGCGAAAAAACGCUUCUUUGUGCAACGAUUGGUUGUUUCGACUCGAGCGAGUCGAGGAAAGAAAGAAAGGGAGGGGAGGAGUGGAAGCGUAUUGGUGUAUCGGGAUCGUGGACAAAUACCGGUUGGGCGAGACGAAUAAAACGGGCGCUGCCAAUUUAUCCGUCGAAAGGCACGAUUAAUGUUUGAUCGAGACCGAGACUUGCCUUCUCUGGGGAAUUUUUCGCGCAUCCCCCCGAGACUCGAAGGUCUCGCACGAGCUCGCAAUAUCUCUCUCUCUCUUUCUCUUUCUUUCUCUGUGCCUCCACGCGCGGAGAAAUACUUCUCCAUCUCUCCAGAGCGGAACGUGUUCUCCGCCUAGAAAAUAAUUUCUCGAAGGGAUAGUCUGGAAAUGGGUGAGUUAUGUCGUCCAAAGUUUUAUGUUUCCAGCUCUGACUCUCGGCGAACGGUCGGAUCCAGCCUGCAACUUUGCGGGAAGCAAGGAAGGAAGGAAGGAAGGAAGGAAGGAUGGAAGGCGUGGCGAGGCAAGGCGAGGCGAGGCGAGGCGAGGAGAGGAACGAAGAAAAGGGAACGCGGAGAUCGAAUCGACGACGCGUGGCGUUGCGCCUGUUUUUCGUUCGACGAACGAGAAUCGGGGACGACCAAUUAAAACUUACAGCCGGACGUCCCUCGUUAAAACGUUAACGCUUUUUUCCCCAGGUUGGAACAGGUCGACUUCGCGAUAAAUAUCACGCGUCUUUGUUUUUUUUUUCUUUCUUUCUUUUUUAAUCGAUAUAAACGGUGGAAAUUGUCGGAGCGUGAUAAUAAAGGGCGGGAAGAAAGGUUGGCUUUCUGGAAUAAAAUUAUUCCGGUGGUGUGAAUGCCGGUUUCCAAAGAGGAUUAAACGGAAAGGGGGGAGGGGGUUCAAUGAACCGGAAAGGGCCGAAGCUGCGCGAAAAGUGCGACGUAAUCGUGUUUUAUGUAAUGGAACUGAACGCUAGUUUACUCCCAUUUUGCCACGCGCAAGGAGAACUUUUUUCUUUUUUUUUUUUCCGUUCCCAACAGUUAUCGCUCCCGUUGGUUCCAUUAAAAGCGACGAAACGACCCGGAACGGUUGCGAAAUCGUUCGGAUUCGAAACGCCGAUCCAUAAAUCUUUCGCGUAAAUAGUUCCAGUCGUCUAAACAAUCCGUAAACAAGUCCGUGCGAGCGAAAGAUGUCGAAUUUGGAACGCGGGAAUAAAAGCGUGGCUGGACCGAAGUAGCCCCCCCCCUUCCCUCCUGUUUGAAUAGUCGGUGGUUCUCGAAAGCAUCGAGAUUCGAUAAAGGGUUGGACUUGGGACCAAAAAUCGGCCCCUCCCAUAGUAAGCCAGAACCCAGAGGGAUUUGCCGUUGUUUUCGACGUUUUCUAUCUGUACAGGUUCGAACGAGGGUGUUAGAUAUUAGGGGAAAAAAUCGCGUGACGGAAAAAUGUAGAUACAAUGUUUCAUAAAAAAAUGAAACUAAAGAGGUUGGAAAAGCAGAAGCGGCGUUACUGCGACCGAGUUUCAUUAUGCAGCCUCUUAUAGUUGGCGUAACUCCCAUUGGUCGUAAAUAUGAAUUACGGCUGGCCGAAAUAGCUUGGCGCACCUUACCGUACCUCCGCGUACGAAAAAACCCCUUUUCCCGGCCAUUAUUUAUUCGAAAGAGGAGACCAAGUCCGAUGAAUCAAAAUGGCCGUCAACCUUUACCGAGACCACCCUCUCCUCCUUCCCCGGCCCCCUCUUUUUUUCCGGCCAAUAACUGCCAACGGCAAGUUCCACCAGUGACGAGGCAGAAAUUAAACGGGACGCGGAGGCGAAACGGCUGCUAUCGUUUGAACUAACUCCAAACCUCCCCCCUCUUCGUCCUUUCCAACGCUUGUCUAUUUUCUUAAUCUGUCCGGCGAAAACUUCCUCUUCGAUGGCCCGUAUUCUAUUCCGCGAGAUAUCUUUCACCUCGCCUUUUCCCCUGCCCUUUUCUCGAUACACGAAAUAUCGUUUCGAAUUGAGAAAUUAUACGCAGCAAUAUACGAUUACGUAGUGGGUAGAUAGAUAUAUCGGGAUGCCAACUUUAAUCGACGCGUAAUUGGUAAAAAUUGUUGGAAAUUGGAGAGCUAUUAUAAUUUUUCCAUGCAAAAAUAGAAAAAGCGCGGGGAACAUUUUUACGAGUACUUUAAUCGAACCAACAACGCUCUCCGCAAAUUAAUCGACAAGAAAGAUAGCGAGAGAGGAAAAGAGAUAGAGAGAGAGAGAGAAAGAAAAAAAACUAGCAUUAUUGGCAUGCAAGGCCUGUGCAAGAGCAUAAAGAAGGAUUUUAUGUCCGCCAUUUACAGCUUCUCUUUUGUAGAUUUCCUAUUCUUUCUAUUCAAUGAAAUUUCCCUCUCGCUUUUUCCUUUUGUCGUCGAUGGCCCAGAUUCGAAUAACAUCGUUGGGAAAAAGGUAUUCCCGCGAAUAGCAACGGGAACGUACGCGAAUUAUGCUGUCCCGAUAUUGGCUCGGGCGAUGGCAAAAGGAAAAACGUUGUAACGAGGGAAGAGAAAUGAAAAUUUCUCUAUCAACCAUGCAAAAUCAAUUUAUCAAAGAGCCCUGUCAUAAAUAAACUUUAAUUAAUGGGCCACAGUCCGUACCGAGCAAUUGAAAACGAAUUCAGAAGAUAAAACGAAAUUACCUAGAAUUAAUUUACCUAUAUUAAAACGAUUCCUCUAUUUUCUUUGACGAAACGUCGAAUCGUUACACGUAUGUAGACCGACAAAUAACUUCCUUUGUUGGUCACCGCCUAAUUCAAUUUACGGACGGUCAAAGAGCUCGACCAACAAACUAGGAGAAUGAAACGAAAACGAGGAAAAAUUAAUUUAAACUUGUCAUCGAGGGCAUUAAAAGAUCGCGUUCGUAUCGAAAUUACGCUCUUUUUGUUUUAUUUCUUCGAUUCCAUUUGAAAGGAUAAAAAUCGUUUUUUAACCGAUAAAUCGCAAAGUCUGAGAGCAGGUAGAAUCCAAUUAUCGAUAUUUCAAGAGAUCCGCUACCUCGAACUCGUUUCGCUGGUCGGUGGGUUUGGUCACCGCUUGAUUAUGGUUUACAGCGAGAGAGAAACGGUGGCGAACGGUGAAUAUGACAGUAGCUCGCAGGAAUGUUGCGUAUCGAUUUUGAAAAUUAUCAUGCAAGCAAGCUCGUCCUGUAAUAGGUUAAUUACCGAAUCCGAGCCCCUCGUUAACUCCGGUUAAUGUAAAUUAUUUUCGAUUUCGCUGACUUUGCAACCAACGCUCGUUUAUAAAUCGCGUGCAAACUAAUUACAUAUUCUUUGUUCUGACCGCUCGCCAAUUACCACCCAGGAUGCGAUCCAUCCUAUUGUUACAGCUAAUUUUGUAAUUAUUCGUCCAACGAACCAUGCAAAUCACUGUGCCUCCAUUUCAAUCGAAUCUGUUCCAAUAUAUUUUCAUUCUAAUUCGGUUCCUUUUCGACCUCGAUAUCCUGUGCAACUGUGGAUAGGUUAUCUGAAAACGAUAUUGCCAUCUGUUAGAAAAUAAAGCAAACGUUUCACACAUAUGAGUAAAGAAGAGAUCUUAUACCUCUUUCACAAUUCUAAACGUUGCUUAUCGACAAUAGAUACCAUCCAACGGUCCAAAGAUGAUGAUCAUCGUUCUCCACAUAGAAAUAGAUGUAACGUUCAACGAAUUUUUUGCAAAUUAAUCCCGUGAUGAAAAAUAAUGCAUUAUAUAUUUCCGAAAAUAAAAAUAUUUUUCAAA